rnacentral:tRNA from 1 species
GGUAGUGGCUCAGUUGGUAGAGUGCUUGUCUCACAUGCACAAGGUUCUGGGUUCAAUCCCCAGCACCA